rnacentral:lncRNA from 1 species
GGUGCAGAUUAAAUGCCCAAGAAUACAGACUCCGUGGGUGUUUGAGGCGUGCCCCCUCUGGAGUCUCUCUGGCACCACUGGUCUCUCUGCACCUGCAUCAGGGUUAACCCUCUCCUGUGGUUAAUUCUGCUUGGUAGUGUCCUCUGGAGCUCUGAGUUACACCAGGGGUGUACUUAGGUACUCCCCAGGUCUUUGUGGAAACUCCAAAGAAAACAAAUCCACCUUGAGCAAGGCCCUGCUUCUCCCUGCCUUCCCUUACUGAUUGUACAGCUGAAAUUACAAACUGUUCUAAUUGGGGUUCUUCCAAAAGCCUACCCUGAGACAAGCAUUUGAGUGCAGGUUGGUUUAUUUGGGAGUUAAUAUCAGGAGUCACUAGUGAGGAAGCAGGGAAGAUGAGACAGGGAAGGGAGAUGAGCCCACAGAGUGUGUUAAUGAGUGGGCAUCCCUGUGCAACAGGGCUCAGUCCCAGGAACUCUCUGCAGAACCUCUGAAAGAACAUGCCGGCAGAGAAUGGGGAGGCUGGGCCAUUUGUCCUCCAGUUCUACCUUCCUUUGAUUGAGGGCUGUUCUGGGGAGGGGUGGUAGUGACAUUAGGCACUUCACUCUUCUGGGUUGUGCCUGCUUGCACUGGAGCCAGCUCCUGUGGGUGCUUGCAGUGGUGAGCUGUCUGCAUGCUAGAAAGUCCCGCAGCUACAGGUGAGCUCAGGUGGGCCAGGGAGAUGCAGGGUCAAGAUGAACAUCUAUCUGUCUUCUCUACAGCCUGUGCCUGAGCCACUAACCCAUCUUAGCCACUUCUUAGGGACGAGAUCUUGGAAAAAGAUAGCCUGGCACAGCCUUGUUUUUCUCAUCCGUAAUCACAUAGGGUGUGAAGGGAGGAGAGAGGAUGGGAAGAGCUUGAUCUGCUCCUGGUGCUGUGGCUUUCAGCUUUGGAUGCUGCUUAGAACACAGGAAGCAUCUGAAAAUACCAACACCCAGGCUGUUCACAGGCCAACGGCCCCAGAGGCUUCAGGGAUGG